AUAGCAAUAUGUGGUUUCUUGUUUCGACAUUGUAGUGCAUUCGAAAGUAAAAAGUCAAAUUAACCGAGGUCAAGUUACCAAGUGUCUUUUUUUAUGUCU
rnacentral:lncRNA from 1 species